CCUACGGGGGGCAGCAGUGGGGAAUAUUGGGCAAUGGGCGCAAGCCUGACCCAGCAACGCCGCGUGAAGGAAGAAGGCUUUCGGGUUGGAAACUUCUUUUCUGAGGGACGAAGAAAGUGACGGUACCUCAGGAAUAAGCCACGGCUAACUACGUGCCAGCAGCCGCGGUAAUACGGCGGUGGCAAGCGGUAUCCGGAUUUAUUGGGUGUAAAGGGCGCGUAGGCGGGAAGGCAAGUCAGUUGUGAAAGCUCAGGACUCAACCGUGAGAUUGCAUUUGAUACUGGUUUCCUUGAGUACUGGAGAGGUAGGCGGAAUUCGGUGUGUAGCGGUGAAAUGCGUAGAUAUAACGAAGAACACCGAUUGCGAAGGCGGACUGCUGGACUGUAACUGACGCUGAUGCUCGAAAGUGUGGGUAGCAAACAGGAUGAGAUACCCUUGUAGUC
rnacentral:rRNA from 1 species